rnacentral:rRNA from 1 species
AUGAACGCUGGCGGCGUGCUUAACCCCUGCAAGUCGAACGGAAAGGCCCAAGCUUGCUUGGGUACUCGAGUGGCGAACGGGUGAGUAACACGUGGGUGAUCUGCCCUGCACUUCGGGAUAAGCCUGGGAAACUGGGUCUAAUACCGGAUAGGACCACUUCUUGGAUGUUGUGGUGGAAAGUUUUUUCGGUGUGGGAUGAGCUCGCGGCCUAUCAGCUUGUUGGUGGGGUAAUGGCCUACCAAGGCGUCGACGGGUAGCCGGCCUGAGAGGGUGUACGGCCACAUUGGGACUGAGAUACGGCCCAGACUCCUACGGGAGGCAGCAGUGGGGAAUAUUGCACAAUGGGCGCAAGCCUGAUGCAGCGACGCCGCGUGGGGGAUGACGGCCUUCGGGUUGUAAACUCCUUUCGCUAGGGACGAAGCGUUUUUGUGACGGUACCUGGAGAAGAAGCACCGGCUAACUACGUG